CAUGGCAGAUCUGAAAACUUUGGCCAGUUCUCAGAGGACUCUGGUAAGUUUAGGAAAGAAUUUGUAAAGCAGAGUCUGAGCUUUACCUUAACCUGGCAAGAUGUGAUGGUGAUUUUAGCCAAUUGUUGCACCCCAGAUGAAAAGGCUCCUUUGUACAGGCCGAUACCCCACAUUCUGUUUAUCAGGGGAGGCAAUCCCAGAGCAGGACCCCUCAUGGGACCUUGGACAUGAGAUAGGCAAACAUAAGAUGGGUCACUUUAUUACCUGCACAGUUGAAGGAGGAAAUGCAUGAGGAAGCAUGUGAAUUACGACAAGGUCAGGAAAGUCACCCAGAUCAGGGGGGGAAAAACAGCAAUCUUCUUCCACCAUGUUACUGAAACCAGAAAUUAUACUAAUGUUGACUCAGAAUUGUCGGAAGGAGAAGGCUUCCUGUGCAUUUUAUCACUCCAGUCUGCUCUGGACAUGAGAGGAAAGCUACAAAAGUUAGAGGCAGGACCCGAAACCUCACUGUCAACACUGGUAGAGGAGGCUUUUAAGGUUUUCAAUAACAGGGACAGGAGGAGAAACCUAACCAGCUGGUAGUUAAGAAAAUGCAGCUCUUGGCUGCUUUGAUUAACCCGCCACCUCGUGGUAACCCAAAGAGGCAGGUAACCCAUCUCUGCCGGGACAAGAGAUGUCUAGCCAGUGUGGGACCCAACCAGUGCACUUAUUUCGGGAAGGAAGGGCACCGGAAAAGGGAGUGUCCCGAUCGCCCCAGAGUGGUUAGGUCAGUUGAUUUCCCAGCCGGAAAUCUCCUCUUGGCCAAUCUCUGAAGGGAGAGCUGGUGCCACUGAUCAGCAGGACCUGGGAGCCUCCCCGGCUCUGACUUACAUCAUUGUCACCCCAGCAGAGCCUCAGCUUGCCCUCGACAUGGCAGGUAGGAAAAUUGCAUUUAUUUUUGUCACUGGAGCUGCCUACUCUGUCCUGCCUCAGCCCCUAAACCCCCUCUCCAGCCGUGACUGCCUGGUGUCAGGAAUAGGUGGACGGCUGGAGGUGAGACAGCUCACUUUUCGUCUUGUCUGUGAGGCCGGUUCCAAAGUUACAACUCACUCUUUCUUACUUGUUCCCUAAUGCCCCUCUCUGUGACUAGGUAGAGACCUGCUACGCAAACCGGGGGACACCAUCUCGUUAGAAAAAGACAGUCUCAAGGUGUCAGUAGACAGGGGACAAGGAAUCCAUUUAUUAGCCCUCCUAUGGCCAGGGAAUAGUAAGUCUUCCCCUAUCCCUGAUGGAGUUAAAAACCGGGUUAAUGUGGUGGUGUGGGACAUUACGGUUCUGGGGUGAGCCAUUGGAGUUUGCCCUAUUGAGAUAAAACUAAAACCAGGAGUAAAACAUCCCUGGAAACAGCUGUGUGUGUACAUGCGUACGAGCCCAUUCUGGUCCAAAACAUGGGGACACGAGAGGGAGAAGAGGCUGGUAUAAGAACACCCCAAACUGGAACUGGGACAGGGCUGGAGAGCAGACAGAUCUGGUUUUGUGGUGCCUGGGUCCCAAAGCCCUGCUGGAGGAGAGGAUGUACUGCCCUCGAAGGAGUCUGAGGUCUGGGGGGACCUGAAACUAUUUAAACCCGAUUCAGGGCAGACCCCUCAGCAUAGCUGCCCGGCAGGGAAUGGUGUGCCCUCCCUGGGAGAUGCAGGUACCUUUUAGUCUCCUCCAGUUCCUUAUGUCUUUCAAUAUGUAAUACCCAGCUGAAAAGGUGAAAAACGCUGUAUAUGAUACCAACUGAAGUAGGAAAUGUGACCCAUGGUCGUGAGAAAAGAACAGUUACUAAAGCAGAACCAAAGGUGACCUGGAUGUUUGAACCUCAAGACAAGGCCUUUAAGAUACUGUUAUAAACACAUCAGGUAACUUAGAGGAAAAGAUGAGCCAAAUGUGUGAACAGAUGAGGAAUUUUAGAAGAGACAUGGAAAUUCUAGAGCUAUAAAAAACACUGUGUUCCCCGUGAUGGUAAAUGCCUGCCUGUUCUAACUUAAUACUUUCGUAACUACUGAGAAUACUUCUCCAGACCACACAUGCUCUUCCUUCCUAAUUGUCUGGUAAAUUAAUAUUUAUCUCUGAGGCCUCCCUGGGACCCCAUGUCUAGCUUGUUAAAUGAAGGGAGCCCUGGGGUCUCUCACCAGCUCCCCUGCAGCCCACGUACCACCGGGGUUAGUGGGGAGGGACCCUGGGAAAGGCUCUCGGGGUGGGCUGGGCCCCGAAGGCGGCGUCCCACUGCCAGGAGCCCGCUGAGGGCUCAGACUUCAGCUCUUCCGCAGUCUGGAGAGCUGGGCCGUGGACGUUGCCACCCUGGAGCACGGCCCACUUCCGGCCUGGACUCCGCAUCAUUUCCGUCUUCUCGGUGCCACCCUCAGACCUCACUAAUGAGGACCGGCCCUCGUUUCCUACGUGGCGCCAGUCUGCAGAGCCGUCAGGGCCUGGGCGAUGGUGCGGGACCCUCUUGGUGAGCCUGGAGCGGCUCCGGUCUUGCUCUCAGGUGGGAGGACACGGCUGUAGCACACGCUCGGAAGCCCAUCCGUCUUUCCUUUUGGAGCCCAAAUGGCUGUAAGGGACGUCCCUGUACCUUUCCCAGCAGGAGCCAAGACAAGGGCUGUGGCCCUCCUGACCCAGGGUUGGGCGAUGGAUCGUGAGGGCAGAGACGGCUGGAGGGGCCCAUGAAGUGCACACUUCAGCUUUUGGACAAGGGUGGAGCCUGCUAUGAAACCCAUUUUCCUAUUAAUUAAUAUUUUCCUGUUAAUGAGGUUCCUUGGUGCCUGAAGAAGAAGUUGCUUUAAUAUUAGUUUGGCCAUUUGGACCGGGACAGGUCCGGGAGGUCUUAGGACGUUAGACAUCAAGGCUCUGGGGGACAGGCUAGCGCAGGGAACCCGCGGCUGGCGGCGCUCCCGAGCCGGAGCCACCUCCCUCCACGCCUGUCAAAACCCGCUUUAUCGGCCACUUCAGAGAAUCACAGCCCUUGUGACCAGAGACCUCGGACAUCUGGGAGCUGCAGUUACUUCUCUACAAACAAUGCAACUGAAUUUUGAUCAACACCUCAGAGCAGACAGCAGAGUCCAGUGACUUAAACAAGAGAGGUUAAGAGGAGAGAAAUUGCAAGCCCCUGGGGAAGAGGCGUGACUGCUGGCGACAUUCAGAAAUUGGGGGGCGUCCCUAGGUGGAAGGAGGGCGGCCAGGAGCACCCCCCAAUGGCAGGGUUCGCGGGGCUGCUGGGAGGAAGGCCAGGGGUCAAUGGGGACUGAUUUCCACUCUGGUCUGGUGGGUCUUUUGUUUCGUUUUGUUUUUGGAGGUGACCUUUUUUCCUUUUCCUAUGAAAUGAUUUUCUGCCCAGUGACCUCGUUAUUACAAUGGAAAGAGACACUCGUACUGCAGAGUAAAUAAUGUGACACUGGGCAGUGAUGUCUUGGCACGAGCUCAUGAAUUCCAUGUGACAAGCGUCCUUUUCUAUGUAGAGGUAGAAACUGAGACAAAGGGAGCUGAAGUUACUUAGCAAAAUUGCUACCAAUUAAGCUUUGUUUAUUUUUGGACAUUGGUGACAUCUGGGUUGAGAGCCACUUGAUUGCAAUACCCCCUCCUCCUUGUCAAGGGAAACAAGCGCUAGUGGAGCAGAGGCCAAGGGUGGAGGGAGUGGCGGGAAUGGUGAAGCCCUCCCACGCUGUCACCGUGCCGCCUGUCACCGUCAGGCACACUCACGGUUGGAGGAAGAACGCAUGAAUGGCCGAACGCACAUCUCAAAGCAUCUGAAAGGCUCCGAGAGGGGCGGGCCUCACGCCCAGGGUAGAGAAGGUGGCUUUGUAAGCAUGACUCCAGGGGCACCAUAAAUGCCAGUCCCCACGCCAAAGGUGUGGCAGGGACUGAGCUCCCGCCCCAGGGAACCACAGCUUUGCCUUCUCCAGGGUUUUAAUUUGAAAUGCAAAUACCUCCAUCGAGGGUGAUAAAGAAGCCCCGCGGUGUGACAGGUGCCGAGACUGAUGGAAGCCGGAGGGGAGUCAGGAGGAGGAGCUCUGGGAGGAGAUAAAAAGCAGGGAGACAGGACUGACACGUGGGUGACUUCACCCUUCGCCUGCGAGCGGGAAACCUGGAGUUAGAAUUCCUGGAGUUAGAAUUCCAUCGCCCUGGGCAGAGUCCCAGAGAGCUUAACUUAUCUCAGUUGUAAUGGGGUGAAGUAAAUUCUUUCCUUUUCUUAUUAUUCUCUGGUCUGCCUCCCACCGAGGAUCCCAACAAACCUUGGCACAGAGAUGCCCGGUACCAGAGGGGCGGGUGUGGGAGCUCUGGUGCUGGCCACUUCCGGAAGGUGGGCCACUUUGCCUUCCCCGGCUGUGGCAGGCACCAGGUUCCGCCUCCGCCAGGCUGGUUGCUUUGGGAGGUGCAGGUCUUCCUCUCCCUCCCCCUCCUGGAGACAGACAUGCUCCCCUGGAAGCCUAGAGCAGGAGUUUUUCUCUGUGCCUGGAGGGUCAUCUGUUACUCUGGCAGGAUCCCAGCAGAGUCAGCCCUGGGGUGCACGAGAACCACAACUCACUCUGAUGCCAGGGUCCUUUUUUCCAUCUUUAUUAGGUAAUCGAUCAGCAACAUAGAUCAGAAAAAAUUGUGCCCCGUUGACCGUAUUCUUGGAUGAAGACCAAUGAUGUUAAUUUUCAGUACAUCAACCUCCCGCCAGGCACUAAUUGGAGGGUUAAGGCUGGGGGAUGUGCCACUGGGGGGACCCGGGCAACCACACCCUCCAAGGGGGCCCAGGAGAUGUGAUUUUGCCAACGUACCCAACAGGCAGUAAAGUGGGAAAUUGCACCUGGCAGAGGGACCCUGAGGGUGGAGAUUUAAACGCUGCUCCAAUCCUCUUGUACUAUCGCUACUCGACGCUCCCCGGGCUGUAAUGAGAAGGAAAACGGCACGGCAGAGCUUGGAGCAGCCUCUGCUCCUUGUGCUCCAGAGAGAAGCUGCCUCCUUCUUGCACUGUAGCACACAUUUCUCUCCUAAACCCUGCUUUUAUCACCAUUGUGAGAAAACUGAAGUUGAAAGGUGACAAUUGACUGUGUCAAAUAUAUGGAGAGAAAUAAUCCAACAUCAAAGGCUUCUAGGGUUUUAGAUGGAGUAUUGACCUAUUGCAUUUUUUAAUGCCAUUUUUUUUGGUGUGUUUUUGUCGCCUUUAAACUUGGGCCUGAGUAACUGUCACCUGCGUGAGAAAUACCUGUGGUCUGAGCAGACGCAGGGUUUCGACAGCCGGCCGGGAAGAGGAUCAGAGAACCCGCACUCCCUGGGCUGUGGGGCCCUCAAGUGUCGGAGCCUGUUGGUGCUUGCUGCCCUGGCCUGAGAGGGUGCUCUGGGGAGCAGGGGCUGCCACCCCCGGUGUGGGAAAGGAAUCUUCCAUCUGUCCGGCGAGAUGGGGUCACAGCAUGCAGUGAGAGCGAGUCUUGCAAACAUGAGACGGAUAACAAGGAGAUAAGACUCAGUGGUUUCUUGCAUCUGGAAAUGGAGCUUUGUUAUUUAUUAUUGCAUUACAGAUUGCCCCCAAACUCAGUGGCUUAAAUGACAUUUGUUAUCUCGGUUUCUGUGGCUGAACCGAGUAGCCCUGGCUCAGGGUCACCCAUCUUGAGGUCCAGACGUCAGCCAGGGCUCUGCUCGUCUGAAGGCUUGUCGGGGGGUGGAGGAUCUGCUCCCAAGCUGACCCACCCACGUGGAUGUGGGCAAGGGACCUCGGUUCUUUGUCACGUUCGAGGGCUGUUCGAGUACCUUCAGCUGGCUUCUCCCAGGGUGAAUGAUCCGAGAGAGCAAGGGCAAAGCUGCGGUCUCUCAUGACUUACCCUCCGAAGACACCAUCGCUUCUGCAACAUUCUCUGGGUUGCAUGGGCUGGUUCUACGCAGCGUGGGGAGGGACAGCAGUCCCAGGAGGCGUCUGGAAGGCUGGUGACUGCAGGGCUGUCUGCUGCCAGCAGAGGGAUACGGGGUGGAGAACAGAGCCCCCAGGUCUCCCCAUGUUUUUCUCCCUCCUGAACAAACUGGGGGCCCUGCAAGAACUCCCUCUGGAACCUCUGCCUCAGGCCCCAGGCAGCGGGGAGAGCUCCGAGCCCGCCCUGGGGUUGCUGCUGGUGCCUGCUUGGGACACAGAGAUGCCUGAUUCGAAGGGCUUUCCUGGCAGAGCGCUGGGCAGAAGCAGCAGGUGGCUCCUGAGCCUGCCCCUGCUGCAAGCACCUUCUCUCCACCUCACACCUCUGCCCUUCAUCUGAGCUCAGGUUCGUGUCUCUAAAAAACAGAAAAAGGAAGCUUUUGCUUUGCCGACCUAGAUUGGUCUCAGCAAAAGCAAAGAUGCGUUUUCUCCCAGGGCCCAGGACAGCCAGCCCCCAAAUGAAGUUUUUUAAUAAAGGAGUUUGUUCCAUCUGA